ACAGAGAUGUAGCUUCAUCCUUCCCUCAAUGAGGACUUUAUAUUGAGAGAAGGUUCUCUGGUUUUAUGCCUCCACUACCAAAACAGAGAUGUUGUUACAUGCAUGUAAAGAAAAUCUUGUGGUUGAAUCUGGGGCAAUGCCAGGUAAAAACAUAUGGAAUCUGGGGAGCUUGGGCAAUACAACUGUUAGGAGCCAGCUAAUCAGAGGCUUUCAGAAAGGCAAAUUUGGUCUAAAAGUUGCCUUCAUCUCUUGUUGGAUCUGGUCCCAAAGUUUUGUCAAGGAAACUCAUAUAGACUUGACUGUGGCUUUUAUUUGAAGACAAAUCCUGGGAGAGACCUCUAGUUCUUAGGUAGUUAAAUAUGGAGACUGAAAACUUUUCAUGCUUUCAUUCUCAACUGGAAACUUUUCCUAAUGAAAUUUGCACCUGUCACAAGCCAUUAGAGAAAUCCUGACCACAAACAUCAAUAAUCUGAAAGGCAAGCAGAAAACACCUGAGGUGUUCCAUCUUCUGGCACAAAGAUUUGAAACAUCAGUGCUGUGCAUUUCAUUUCAAACUUCACUGUGUUUCAUGCCAGCUGGGAGUCAGGAGUGGUGCUGGAUAUUACAUUGUGGUUUUUAAAAACAUAUUUUGAAGUCACUGGAACAUAACAAAGUAAUGUCUGAAGUAAAGGGUCCUGUCACACAGAAAUUAGGAAGCUGGUCAGGAUGAAAAGAGCGAUGGGAGAUUCCUGCUUACACGGAGAUUACUAAGCAACAUACUCAGAAACUGCGAAGCACAGAUAUUUCAGUAUAAUUUAAUAUAAAACAUAAUAUUCUAUUCUCAAAAAACAACAACAACAACAACAACAAAAUAGAACCACUUUCUUUCUUUUAAUCUUUCUUUGUUCCUAAAAGUCGAGUUCACUCGUACUUCAAUGUCCCAUGGCCUUGGUGCGGUGAAGAUGUGGUGGUUUUUUGCAACAUCACAUGAGUGUAGCUGAUGUUGUAGCUGGUUUUUACACCCUUCUUUACUUAUCAGGUCCCACUAAAUUUGCCCAUUAACACCUAAUACCUUCCAUUGCUAAAUAAGUGCUCUGUUAUUCCAAAAUUUCUUUCAUCCUAUGUCAGAGCUCUCUCCCCCCUCUUAAAUCCACAAAAUUUAAUGGAAAAAAAAAACAACAGUGCUUCAUAAACAAAAGCUGUAAAUUGACUUACCACGAGAAGUGAAAAACAUUGAACUAGUUGCCCUUAACCUAACUUCAGAUGAAUCUGAUUAAUUAAAAUGCAUUUACAUUGUUGCAGUAUAAAAUAAAGAUUCAGAUGACCCAAGCCCCUUUCUUCUGUCUACUCAUUUAUACAUCAAGACAGCUCCUCUACCUUUUAAAACUUCUUCUAUAAGAUAGAAACAUGCUUGCCACAAAAGGGAGGAAAUAAAAGGUCAUAUUGAUUUCACAAAAAUCUUGUGAUGGUAAUUGCAUAGUUUGAAAAAACAGUAAUUGAAUCUAAUGAAAUCUCUGAAGUUCAGCUACAGAAAACACAACUAUCUGUAGAAACCGUAUUAAACUGGGUCUAAGAGAUUCUGUUGUGCAUUCACAUAUUUCAAAUUGUUAUUCUUGUGGAUGCCUUCUGCAGGUCAGUACAGACACCUAUAGCCUAAGACAUGAAGCAGCUCUAUUCCUCUUCAAAUUCCUCCUUCUUUUUUUUCCAAGCCAAAGCAGGUGUAUCCUCAGUUUAGACGCUUUUUUCUUCCUAAUCAGUGGAGCAGAAUUUGUUCACCAGUAAGGGUGAAAAAAAGCAGUUUUCACAACAAUCUAAGAACUCCUCCUGCAUGAGUCCUGCCUUUCAUGGUACAGGAAAGGAGAAGCAGCAUUGUGUGUGCCAGAUGAGUGAAACUGCACAGUUCACACAGCAUUUGAAUUCUAUUCAGAAGAUUGUACAAUUAUGAACAUCUUUCUGUGCUCCUAGUCCCAUGGACAGCCUUGGCCUAAAGUGACUGAGAACUCCAUUUGUAUGCCAUCAUCAUGGGUUUUAAUCACAUGAUUAGACUUCAACUGAGAAAAAAGGAAUGAAACUAGCUUUUUUUAAGAUAAGUAGUUUUCUAAUUUUCUUUUUUAGUGAUCUAAACAUGGUUAAAAAUCCAGUCCUGAUUGUAAUCUAGGUAUACUUUCUUUGCAGAAGACUUCACUUGGAGGAAACCAUACCAAAGAAACAGGAUGUCAGUGCUCUCAAAUACAAAAAGCCUUCAUAAAGUACAAAGAGAAUCAAAGACAUAGAGAAGCUGUGAUCAAGAAAGAGGGUUCAGAAAUCUGAAAUGGCACAAACCCAAAUGCUGUAAGACACUGAGAAGCUAGGAAACUGAGGAAGAUAAUUACAUAGAGAUGUUUUAUGGAUUUAUCUAGGUUCUAUCUUCUUCCUCUUUGUUCUUUCUGUACUGUCCAAGGGGAAAAAAAAAAAUAAUAAAAAAAUAGGUGCUAGUAAUGAAAUAGGUUACUUCUUGUUCUGAGACAUUUACCAGAAAUGAAGAUGUUCCUGUACUGGCCACUGGCUUUAAACUGAGAAUCCGUCCCCAGAAAUAGAAUGAAGAGGUUGGAAAAGAGAAACUAUAUCUGUCUGGGGAAGCUUAAAAACACUUGGGUCUACUGUGAUAUGACCUGCACAAAAAAGCUUAUCAUGCAUCUCUCCAGAAUCAAAAAUUCGGCAAAUGCCAUGGAACAUCUAUGUUUUCAAUAUAUUACAUUUUCAAAUGUAAAACAUUACUGUAGAAAUCUACCCCAGCCCCGCCCCCCCGCCCCCCCCAAAAAAAAAAAAAAGAAAAAGAAAUCAGUAUAGUUACACCUGUUAGUUUUCAUUGGUAAAUUUUUCUGUCAGUUUUUUCUUUGUUUUCUUUUCAUAAAACCCAAAGAAUCCUCAUUACAAGCAUAAGUUAUAAUUCUUGUACUUAGAAAAACAUGAUUCUCCGAGAACCACUGAGUAGAAGCACUUCAGCAUAUUACAAAGCAACUUUGCAGAUCAGACCCUUUCCUGAUUAAUUCCAUUUGCCUAAUUAGUGAUGUUUCUUGAAAGAAUCCUUGUUUUUUUCUUUUUACAUUGAUGGUUUAGGAUGGAACAGGCUUAUGUUUUCUAGUUACGUUCUCUAAUAAGCGUAACAACAGAAUUUACAUCUGAAAAGUUCACAAAGCACUGUGUUGUAGAAUGUUGUAGAAUGUUGUAAAAUGAAUUAACUUUUCACUACGAGAAAUGUGCCUGUCCUGAUAAUGUAGCUGAAAGCCCUAAUGAAGGCAGGAAUGGGGAAAAAAAAAGAACAUUGUAAAUUAGAGGAGAUUGGGACUGGGAGUCUCAUUUUCUGAGUUCAGAGACAACUAUUUCUCACCUUUAAGACUAGCCUUAGCAGGCAAUUAUUCACCAUGCCCAACAUAUUUAAAUGACAUAAUUGACAACAUUUGUUCAAAGGACUGGAGAAGCUGGGAUGAUAAAAGACUUUCUUGCAUGACUAGUGUUUGGUCAUUCUAGGUCAGAGUUCAGGUGACACGACAGAGAGUCUGGCACCCAAACUGUGAAUAAAUACAACAUAUUUCAGCUGGGGUGUCUUGUCUUUGAAAAAGUGGUUCCACUUUUUAUCAUUUUUCCAGUAUUUUGUGUAUGAUAGCAUAUAUCUACAUUGAAAGUAUAGCUGUAUAUUUCCAAGCAAUGAGGGAAGUAAUUGAUGUUAAUUAGAAGAAUUCAAGAUUAAAAUAUCUUGCGUAGUUUAUAUAGACUGGAUCAGUGCUGAGAGUUCAAAUUGUUCAGAAAAAAAUUGUAUUUAUAGCUGUAGCAAACCCAGGAAUUCAUACCUAAACUGUAGAUUAUUGAUUUUCUGUGGCUGUUCAUUUGAAACUGUAAAUGGAUAUAUUUAUUGUGUCUCAGUGCUUAAACUUUACAGAGACACAGCGGCUUAGGGAUUUCAUUUCACAUACACAUAUCUGGGAGCAUGGAAUCAAGGGGAUUUUCCUCUCUUCAAUUAUUUGGCCUCCUCUUUUCAAUUUGAAUUUACUUACAAAUAGCAACUAAUAAAAGACCCUCAGGACUUAUUCAGUCCAUUUCUCAGCUGAAGUGAGACAAUUACUUUCCAAGUGCAGCAAACUCAAAGACCACACUUCACAGAAUUCUCUGCUGGUGAUGCACUUGUUGAUGCAGCCCAGCAUUCUGUUGGCUUUCUCUGCUGCAGCAGCACACGAUUCACUAACAUUGAAAUCCUUCUCCUGUGUCCCAUAGGUGCAAUUAUCCAUCUUAGUCUCUAACAGUAAUGUUGUUUUGUUCAUGAAUUUUAUUUCAGAAUCCAGACUCCCUUCAGAAGGAAGUGGAACACCUGGGAUAAACUCAAAGCCUAAAUGUAUCCUUCAUUUGUAUUUCAUGCAUUCAAUUUAUUACUAUUGUUCUGAUAUGCAAGCACAUUCAGGUCUUCUCAAAUUCUUUUCUACAUAGAUUCCAAACUACUUGUCACAACAUAUUUUAGUAGAAUUCUCCUUCCUUUUCUGUCAAGGUGAUUAAUGAAACUAGAUUGUCCUAAAACGAUUACUACUUGCUUUAAGCCUCUGGAACAUGACACAGUUGACUGUGAAUUUCCUGUGUAAGGCCAUAUCAAAUGCUUCAUGGAUAUCCAGACAAAUUAGCACUGGUGUAUUUUCUCUGUCUAGAUUACGAUCUUAUCCAAAUAAGAUUUUUUUCUUUUUUUUUUUUUUCUUUUUUUUUCUUUUGGCACAACCUGUCCUUUCUCUUUCAUAAUCCAUUUCUUCUUUCUUUUUCUCUUUUCUCUUUUUCUCUUAUCUAUGUGUUCAUAGAGCCUCUGAAUAGCAGUUUUAAUAUACUUUGCAAGGUCUACCUCAGAUUGAAUUCUUGUGGAGUUUCUUCAUUUUAUCUCCAAUCCCCUAAAAUAGAUAUAUUUUUGCUGAUCAGUCCAAUCUUUUUCCAUUUUUUAUAGCCUCAAUAUCCUUUCUGAGAGUAUCAGUUCAUCCAAGGAGAUCUGGAUCUCAUAUUCUUUUUUUUCCUUUUCUUUGGAGUCCACAUUUGAGAUAACCUAUGUAUUUCUACAUAAAGAAAAUUUUCAGGUUUUCAGUAAUUUUUGCCCCAAGCUUCUCCAAUGAACUGACUUCAGUAAUUUUUCACAUUGUCAAACUCAGUCCUAUAAAAUUGUGAAGUGCUGGGUUUUUUUAGAUUUCCAUCUAAUUUCAGCUGAGUUGUCCUUGGAUCGCUCAGUUCAAGUCCAAUGGGGGAGAGGGUUGUUUACAAAGAAAUUUAAAAUCUUCUUCAGCAUGCACACAAAUGAACAAAGUUUGUUAGUUUGACAGUUAUUUCAUAACACUUCAGCAGUUAUCGCUAGGAAUAUGUAAGGACUUGAAUUAUUCCUACUGUUUCCCAACCUAUGUCCAGGAGCUUUUGAAAUAUUUCAAAUAACUCUGCACAAGAAAUAUUGCAUCUCUUCAGUAGUAUUAUUUCUAACGUGAUCCAAAGCCUGAGAGUCCAUAAGAGAUCUGCAGCCAUAUCUUACUGAAGAUUUAAUACUAAGAUUAGGGUACCAAUUUCCCAAUAUAUAACAAACUCCAAGGAAACUAAAACUUGCUGAUCUACACAAUUUCCUAACAUACUGAGCUCUCUUACUUUCAUUAAUUCUAGGAUUAAGACUACGCUACUCUAAAAAACUCUGCUAUUUUAUACAUCUAAUACUCAAUCCAUCAAACAUUUAUUUUUAUUUUUGUUUGAGACUGUUUACCACAGUCACAUAUUUAAAAAUCCUCAGAAAUGUACAAAGCCUUUUUCAUUUCAAAGUCCAAACACUCCGUCUAAUUUUCCUUCUUCUAGCCAGAGCUCUACACUUUUUAUCUCACAGAUCAUUAGGCUCAGAGAAAAAAUGAUUUAGCUAAUCAUUAUUGGCUAUAUCUAAUCUUAAUGAUCCAUGGAAAGUUACUGCACUCAGCUCCAUGGAUGAAUGACCAGCUCAGGAAAAGGGUCAGCCAUGUUGAAGAGAUUUUCAUUCUCUAAGCAGAUCAGGGUUUCCCUCAAGGGAAGGUGGAGGCCAUGUCACCCUCCUCAUGUCUAUUUAGUUUUAUGUUAAAACAAAUGCUCGUAAAAAGCACAAAACCGAUUCCACUUUCAUCCAUUUUUCUCUUGGUUUUUCUAAUUAAUCCUCUUCAAAUUCUCCAUUAAGGACAUUUAUAAACAGUUUAAUCUAUUACAUUUAUUAGGCAGAAUCAUUAUUAAUCUGAUCUCUAGAGGUCCCUUCCAACACCUAGCAUUCUGUGAUUCUAUGAUUCUGUGGGGAUAUGUGCACCAAGCUCUAAGAGACAGAAAGGGUUACAGAGAGAUGAAAAAUAUUCUACCCACUCUGUCACUCAGAAACUCCAGAUUUCUACACGUAAUAUAAUGUAAAACCUCAGGAUAGGAUGCCAGCCUAAAUGAGCACCGAUACUAUUCCAUGGGAUUUUUUUAAAAAAUAAAUAAUUUUCUUUCAAAAA